rnacentral:rRNA from 1 species
CUAACCGGAUUCCCUCAGUAACGGCGAGUGAACAGGGAUUAGCCCAGCACCGAAGCCUGUAGUCAUUUGAUUGCUAGGCAAUGUGGUGUUUAGAUCAGUUCUUGGCAUUUUUGCUUCAUUCCAAGUCCAUUAAUGAGUAUGGCAUUUAGACUGGCCCAAAGAAGGUGAAAGGCCUGUGGGAAUGAAGAUGCAGUUUUUCAAAUUUGCUUUGAAUUGGUCUUGGAGUCGGGUUGUUUGUGAAUGCAGCCCAAAGUGGGUGGUAGACUCCAUCCAAGGCUAAAUACUGGCACGAAUCCGAUAGCAAACAAGUACCGUGAGGGAAAGUUGAAAAGUACUUUGAAGAGAGAGUAAACAGUGCGUGAAACCGCUCAGAGGUAAACGGGUGGAGUUGAACUGAAAUCAGCAGAGAUUUAGCUGAUAGACUGGUGGCAUUCGGAUUUUGCUUUAUUGCAAACUUGGGUUUUCCUUUGGAAGGCUUGAGUGUAUGUAGUUGUAAACUUGUUCGUUCCGUUUGCAUGUCUAGUUUGUCGGUGCAUUUUUCUGUUGUGAUCACCACGACCGACGUGGUUGUCUCAUUGCUGUAGUUGGUGCCAACCAAUUAUAAUCAUUUGAGUAUAGUUGGUUUGGAGUAGCAGGUAAUUUGGUUACUCCUUGGAAUAAUUAAAUGUUAUAGCUGACUGCAGUGAUGUUGUGCAAUAUGUUGGAGAUGACGGCUGUGCUAACGUUGUGUGAUUAUUUGAAUCAGAUUUGAUUGGCUGCACCUGGUUUUGCUGGGUCUGUCAGUAGUUUGGUUGGAAUGACCAUGCUAAUGUGUGCACCUUGUUUGGGCCUAUAGUCUGUGGUGUAGUGGUAGACGAUCCACCUGACCCGUCUUGAAACACGGACCAAGGAGUUUAACAUGUGCGCGAGUCAAUGGGCGUUACGAAACCCAAAGGCGUAAUGAAAGUAAAGGUUUGGCUUUUUGUCAAGCUGAGGUGAGAUCCUGUUGUACUGUCUAGUUUAAGCAGUGGGCGCAUCACCGGCCCGUCCCAUGGUUUGCUGUGGGUGCAAACUCAUUUGUUAUAAUCGGGGCGGAGCUAGAGCGUACAUGUUGAGACCCGAAAGAUGGUGAACUAUGCUUGCGUAGGUUGAAGCCAGAGGAAACUCUGGUGGAGGACCGUAGCGAUUCUGACGUGCAAAUCGAUCGUCAAACGUGAGUAUAGGGGCGAAAGACUAAUC